AUUGCUAGUACUCUAUGGAUUAGGAUUAUGGUUCAUUGUUUAGCUAGCUACAUGUCUAAACAAAAGACCCCAAGUUAAAGCUUACUGUUAGGUAGUUAGCUGACAUUAGAUGGCUGGCUCGCUAGCUAACAUUACGUUUAUGAUCUGUGUGUAGUAAUGUUAUUUGAGAAUGCCAUUUCUCAUUGCUAGUUAUAUCCUAAUGUUAGCUAGCAAACUAGCUAACAUUGAACCUAUUUGGUUUACUUUAGCUAGCUAUGACAAUCGGCUUCUAUGGCUAGUACUCUAUGGAUUAAGAUUAUGGUUCAUUGUUUAGCUAGCAUGUCUAAACAAGACUCCAUUUCGUCAGAUGAUUACAUGACCCAUCAAGUUAGCCAGGUGUGUCUGACGGUGAUUACGGCUGUCUAUGUAUAAUAAUGCCAAAAUAUUUGUAUCUGGAAUUUUUCUUUCAGCAUCAGUAGAACACGCUUGACUCUCCUCCACCAGUCACACAAGGAGAGUGGUCUAAUGCUUCCCAUCAAAAAGAGAGCUGGCCCAAGCAAGCACAGGUUACACCUGAAUCAUGAGGACUUGCAGCGAGUGGUGAACUUCAUCAACAACUACGCAGAGGAUAAUGCAAUAGUAUUACCAGGAUGCCACCCAGGACAUAAACACUUUGGUGGAAAGCUGCUGCCAUCCCAUUGUGACAAAAGCAGCAGUGUUGCGUCUCCACAAGCAAUCGAUGACGACACUUGAGGUACGUAUAGUUGGGCAAUGUGUUAUCAUUUUAACUUCCACUUUCCAAGAUGAUGUUUCUGUAUGCAGUGCUGCUGCUCUGCACAUUUGUAGAUAAGUGAGUGCUGCUGCUCUGCACAUUUGUGCACUAUCCUUCUGACCCUAUGCAGCAAAGUCCCAUCUACUUUUUAACUCCUCGCACGUGUGGCUUGUUUGAGGUCUGCUGUGAAGGAAUACCACAACAAGUCAACCACUCAGUCUUCCAGAGAUUUGAGACUGGGACAGAGAUUCACCUUCCAGCAGGACAAUGACCCUAAGCAUACUGCUAAAGCAACACUCAAGUG